AAAGGGCAGAGAGGAAGUGGGACCUUGGCGUGGCCUAGACCACCGUCACCUUUUGCUCUACGGAGUGCGGCUCAACUGGACCUCACCCGUGCCUCCGAGACUGCCUAUGCCACAACCGACUGAUGACUUCACAGAGCGUUGUGUUUGUGUUGUCCGCGUUCCCGGUACCGAGACGAAUGUGAUCUGUGGACACCGACUCAUGUGACGGAGGGGGGUUACGGCCACGAGGAGGUGACCAACAACGUUUGUAAAAAAAAAAAAAA